UGUGUGGUCUCCCCCCUCCCACUACGGGUCGCGGCUGGGGGCGGCCCGGGAACGGGGACGCGGCUUCCCCCUCCCACCCCUCCCCUUCCUCCAGCGCUUCGACCCAAGAUGGCGGCGCUGAGCAGCGGCAGCAGCUCCGAGGGGGCCUCGCUCUUCAACGGGGACAUGGAGCCUGAGCCGCCGCCCGGAGCUGGGGCCUCGUUCCCGGGAGGCGGCGGCGGCGGCGAGCCGGCCAUCCCAGAGGAGGUAUGGAAUAUCAAACAGAUGAUUAAAUUAACACAAGAACACAUAGAGGCGCUGCUUGACAAGUUUGGAGGAGAGCAUAACCCACCAUCAAUAUACUUGGAGGCCUAUGAAGAGUACACCAGCAAGCUAGAUGCUCUACAACAAAGGGAACAGCAGUUAUUGGAAUCCAUGGGGAAUGGAACUGAUUUCUCUGUCUCCAGCUCAGCUUCAACAGACACAGUUACAUCAUCUUCCUCCUCUAGCCUCUCUGUAGCACCUUCAUCCCUUUCAGUUUAUCAGAACCCCACAGAUAUGUCACGGAAUAACCCCAAGUCUCCACAAAAACCUAUUGUUAGAGUCUUCCUACCCAACAAACAGAGGACAGUGGUUCCAGCAAGAUGUGGGGUGACAGUCCGGGACAGUCUAAAGAAAGCUCUGAUGAUGAGGGGUCUUAUCCCAGAAUGCUGUGCUGUUUACAGAAUACAAGAUGGAGAGAAGAAGCCCAUUGGCUGGGACACUGACAUUUCCUGGCUCACAGGAGAGGAGUUGCACGUGGAAGUCUUGGAGAAUGUGCCGCUUACCACACACAAUUUUGUACGAAAGACAUUCUUCACUUUAGCAUUCUGUGACUUUUGUCGAAAGCUGCUUUUCCAGGGAUUCCGAUGCCAGACUUGUGGUUAUAAAUUUCACCAGCGCUGUAGUACAGAGGUGCCACUGAUGUGUGUUAAUUAUGACCAACUUGAUUUGCUGUUUGUCUCCAAGUUCUUUGAACACCACCCAAUAUCGCAGGAGGAGGCCUCCUUAGGAGAGACCACCCAAGCAUCUGGAUCGUACUCCUCAGUGCCCCCAUCAGAUUCUAUUGGACCACCAAUUCUCCCUAGUCCUUCUCCUUCAAAAUCCAUUCCAAUCCCACAGCCCUUCCGACCAGCAGAUGAAGACCAUCGGAAUCAAUUUGGGCAACGAGACCGCUCGUCUUCAGCACCCAAUGUGCACAUCAAUACAAUAGAGCCUGUCAAUAUUGAUGACUUGAUUAGAGACCAGGGGUUACGAGGAGAGGGAGGUUCAACCACCGGUUUGUCUGCCACCCCACCUGCCUCCUUGCCUGGGUCCCUUACCAGUGUGAAAGCUUUACAGAAGUCCCCUGGACCACAACGAGAGAGGAAGUCAUCCUCAUCCUCAGAAGACAGGAAUAGAAUGAAAACCCUUGGUCGACGGGACUCAAGUGAUGAUUGGGAGAUACCAGAUGGGCAAAUUACAGUCGGACAAAGGAUAGGAUCUGGAUCAUUUGGAACAGUCUACAAGGGAAAGUGGCAUGGUGACGUGGCAGUGAAAAUGUUGAAUGUUACAGCACCCACCCCUCAGCAAUUACAGGCCUUCAAGAAUGAAGUAGGAGUGCUCAGGAAAACACGACAUGUGAAUAUCCUACUUUUCAUGGGUUAUUCAACAAAGCCACAGUUGGCUAUUGUUACACAGUGGUGCGAGGGCUCCAGUUUGUAUCACCACUUGCAUAUCAUUGAGACCAAAUUUGAGAUGAUCAAACUCAUUGAUAUUGCACGACAGACUGCACAAGGCAUGGAUUACUUGCAUGCCAAGUCAAUCAUCCACAGAGACCUCAAGAGUAAUAAUAUAUUUCUUCAUGAAGAUCUUACUGUAAAAAUAGGUGAUUUUGGUCUAGCCACAGUGAAAUCACGAUGGAGUGGGUCCCAUCAGUUUGAACAAUUGUCUGGGUCCAUUCUAUGGAUGGCACCAGAAGUAAUCAGGAUGCAAGAUAAAAACCCUUAUAGCUUUCAAUCAGAUGUAUAUGCAUUUGGGAUUGUUCUUUAUGAGCUGAUGACUGGGCAGUUACCAUACUCGAAUAUCAACAACAGGGAUCAGAUCAUUUUUAUGGUGGGACGAGGAUACCUGUCUCCAGAUCUCAGUAAAGUGCGAAGUAACUGUCCAAAAGCCAUGAAGAGGCUAAUGGCAGAGUGCUUGAAGAAGAAAAGAGAUGAGCGACCCCUCUUUCCACAGAUUCUUGCCUCCAUUGAGCUUCUGGCUCGGUCAUUGCCAAAAAUUCACCGCAGUGCAUCUGAGCCCUCAUUAAACCGGGCUGGCUUCCAGACGGAGGAUUUUAGUCUAUAUACUUGUGCUUCUCCAAAAACACCCAUCCAGGCAGGGGGAUACGGCUUUGCUACAGACUUCUUGUGGUGACCUUGGGCAACAAUCUUAAUCUCUGUGCCACGGCUUCGUUUCUGUGAAGUGGGGAUCUGGAUCUACCGCACGGGGUGUUGAGGCUUAACUAAAUGUGAGAAUUUGCAGCGUUCAAGUAGCCACAGCGCCAUGGCAGCACCUACUCUAUUAUUUAAGUCUUGUGUUCCUACAGUUUCUUAACAUCAAAACUCUGUUCUGCUCCUCAAAACCUAAAGCAAUUUAGGAAAAGAUAUCCGUAAGCUUAGAGCGGAGCAGAAAGGAACUGCUGGUCCAACACAAGGGGGGGUAAUAAUCUUUUUAGGAACCAGAAUUCUCUGCUGCCAGUGUUUCUCCUUCAACACAAAACACCACGUGUAUUCAGAGACCCGCAGUGGCUGCCUGUACCGUUGUCAUCAUUCCCAGGAGAGAGGAGAGGGCACGCGUGUUUUGACUUUGGUGCUCAGGCAUAAGGGGAUGGAACUGCUGCAGCAACUUAGGAGACUUGCUUUGGAUGUCUGCCAGUUGGCUUUCUCCCUCUAACAACGAAUCAUCAGAGGCUGAACAUCUGAUGAGAGUGCUAAUCAAACGAAUCAUCUUCUGUUCUGAUUUAUUUUUUUCCUGGCAUGCUUACUGAUUUAUGGGUCAAAAUGCAGCAUCCCCUUUUCAUUUAAAUGCAAAUAUCAAACAUUUCAAUCGAUCUAUGUCAUUGACUUUUAUCCCAGUCAAAUUUGAUACUUUGAGGGGUGGGAGGUGGCUUCAGGAGAAGUUAAUCUGGAGGAAAAGGGGAUGCUGCACCAUUUUUCAAAUUUACUUUUCACUUAUCCAAAAACUACCCUUUUCUUGUUUCUAAUACUUUCUGGUGUGCUCAGACAGGGCAUCUUUCAGAAGGGUUGGGAAGCUCCUCUCGUUGGUCCAGCAACAAACUAAAGUUAACAACAAAAAAUGUAGCAAGUUCUCAAAAUAUUUUUUUGUAUCCUCUAAUUCAAUGUAUUUUUCAGAAAUGCGAUAAUGGCAUGUGCUGUCUGUAAAACUGCUAAUACAGACUAUGGAAUGGUGUAUGUACCUAUUUUAAAAGUUUUAUUUUAAAUGAGGGUGCAGGUGAAUGCCAGGUACCUUACCAAUGUAUAAGGUUUUCAUAAACAGGAAAAAAUAGUUCUCAGGUUGAAUUGAAAAAAAAAAAUACAAAAAUCCCCCCCACCCCUGAAUUAGACAUUCUGCAAAUUGUGUUUUGGUACUUAGAGAGCUUUUUUAAAAGGAUUUUUAUCCUGUUAACUCAGUGUUCUCUGAUAAGUGUGUGUGUAAAUGUGGAGCAUCUUGUCCCAAUGGCAAGGUGUUAGAUUUAAAAAACAAUCAACUACUACAAAAAACGGUACUUGCUGGAUCCACGCUGACCUUUUCUCCUCUCAUUGAUUUCUUCUGUUUGACUCUCUUGUUCCCAUCCCUCCAUUUUUCCCUUUUCCACAGUUUGCAAACUAGGAUAAAGGUGGCAGUAUCCACAUUUAGUUUCCCUUGUUUCCCUGUCCUCCAAGCCCAGUUCUCAAAUGGUUGGUAGCUUUGUGACAGGCUACCAAGUCAGAAGACAAAUUCGUAAAGUUCAGCACAGUGUUUACCUCUAGUAGAAUAUCUUGUGAUGUGAUCUGUUUGCAGAAUUCUCCGAUAUGUGGUAUUAAACGUAAAUUAUUUGUACAGAGGCAAGUCAGACCAUAGUAGAAAGAACUUCAAGCUCACACGGAAGUCUUCAGAGUUUGAUUAAUAUCUGCCUAUCCCACUCUACAUGAGGCAGGAGAAUUGAUGCCAUUAAUUGGCAGCACUAUUCUUAGGUGAAUAAAAUCAGGUGACUCAUGUAAAGGAGUUAAAUGUGUACAGACGCACAUGGCGUUGGCUGAACACAUUGUUUCUGCCUCACUAGGUGAGUGGGGACCUUUACUGUGUACAGAAGGGUGCCCUUGGAGAUAUAGGUAGCCUGUUAUGUUUGUUAAUUAUUAUUUACUGUGGUUAAGGGGUCCUGAUUAAUCUGAAGUGAGAAAUAUAAUUGAAAUACUGUGUAUUCAUGUUAAUUCCACAAACAGCAGCCAGACAGCAAUAGAGAGUGAUGUGAAGUUACUACAAGGAUGAAGCAAUUCAUGUUGCUACAUGAAUAGAAUUGAUUUUAUGUACAGGAUGCAUUUGAACAAACAAGCACAACUUUUUUCUUCUCUGCUGUGGGUCUUCAGAUGCUAUUAGGUUUUUUUCCUUCCUGAAAUGGGCAGGAAUUAAAAUAAUCAGUAGCAGUGUCUACUGUACUUUCCAGUGUGGAGAAGCAAGCAAAGUGAGCAGUAGUGCACAGUCAGGUGAAAUCACCAUGCACCAUGGUAGCGUAAUGGCAGUAUACAGUGCUAUCUGAGGCAGGUGACAGACCAAGGUGGAAAAAGCAAGGAACCAAGUUGUCAGCAACAGUUGAGAAUUUUUACCAAUAUUAACUCCAAGAGAGUGAAGUCAUUACUGUAUCAAUGUUUUCCCCUCAACCUUUUUUUUUUUUUUUUUGGCCUGUGAUGUAGCUUGUAAAUAUAGGGCACACUGAAAAUUACAUAUGCUCCUAAAGAAAGGUAUAGUCUAAGUAUGUAUUGCUAGGUUAAGAAUUAUCAUUUCAACAUACUGGAUAAAAAUCCUAGUUUCCUUCUAUAUUUUCUUGCUGGCAGAGAAGUAUUUGUUAAAAUAAAACAGUAAGGAAUGACUUUUUUUAUCCUUGUUUUAAAUGAAUUUAUUUUGUAAUCCUUCAUUACCUGUUAGUCUACAAUAUGCUUCUUGAGCCCACAGGAAAAGCACAAGGAAAAUUGCUAUCCUUGUCCAUGCAAAGCACUUUAUAAGUAACACAUGGUCUUUGAUUUCCCCCACCCCCAAAAAACAUGUAUGUUGUUUGACUGUUGUUUAGUUAAGUCUUUCAGGUUUCAUUUCUAUUACCUUCCAAGUUUUUUUCUCUUAAAGUAGCUGUAAUGCUUUAUGUUUGUGUCCAGCUUUCUAUCUGUAUAAAGACCACCUUAAUCCUCAUGCAAAACUUUGGGAAAAUUUGGUUUGUAAAUAAUUGUUUUUCUUCAUUUCUUUUCCUUCAGAAAUUACUAAGGACGUUUUGCAUGAAAAUAGGAUCAAUUUCAAAGGUGCCUUGCAGGUGUUUGGUAAACAGUGAGACAGUAGCAGGGAUAUGUAUUGAAAGCCCCAGAUAGCAAGGGGGUGAAGAAAACAAUGAACUCUUUUUAAAAAAAUAAAUAAAAUUCAGGCUCGCUGUUCACACCAUACAGCUUCAGCUCAUCUGUGAUUCCCUGGCUCAGUGCACUAGGGCAUAAACCCACAUGCUGGGUUUGGUAAUUUUAUUAAAUAUUUUAUACCUGUUCGGAUAUAAAAUUAUCUAGGCACUUAUACUGCUUUAAGAUCCAACAUAUCUGAGCAGAUAAUAAACCUUUUCAAAACCACCACUUGAGCACCCAUAGUCCAAUUCCAUGCUCUUGUGGAAUACAUUAGCUAUGAAACACCCCUUCUUCCCCCAUAUACAGAAAUUAGAAAAUACCUGUCCUAUCAUCUAGUCCCAUCUCCCUGUCAAUGCAGGAUUCGUCCCUACAGUAUAUUUUCUGGGGCACCGUGGUGGCAUUGAAGUCAAACGGAGUGAACGUAGGAGCCUAAGGUAACAGCAUCAGUUAAAUGCUGAAUGUCUCUGUAUUUGACAUAGUCCUGCCAUUCUCACUUUUCACAAAACAUUUGCAGGUCACUGAAUUAAUCUGUUCCUGCUUGCUUUAUUCCUUACCUGAAAUCAUCCUUUCUCACAAUUGAGUUCUUUGGCAAUUACUGAUAAUACAGAUUAUUUUGGGUCAAAUUCUGCCCUCAUAUUUCUGUGACUUCUGCUUAAGUCAGUUGGAGCUAUAUGUGCUCUUUAGAGGACAACAUUUGGCCUACUAUGACAUGAAGUGAAUAAACAGAAAUGUGAACUGUUAACAAAGAUCACAUCUUUAUGCAAAUGUCCAGCGAUAAAAACAUACUGAAGAAUUGCCUCUGUAGUUGUAUUGUGCUGUCUAUGUACACGGUGCUUUACUGAACACUUUGAAGACAAGGUCCAUUCCCCAAAGACACGAUGAUCUAAUAUCAGUUGAGGCAUCGGUAGUUCUUGAAGGUAUCUGUGUAGUGGAGGGCCGAAUUAAGAGCUGAAGCGUGCAAACAUUUCACACCUUUCCAGCCUGCAGGUUUUUAUGGAAUAUAUUCCCUUCUUGACUGUGAGUGCAGCAUGUGUAGCACAAACUAUUCAGAGUACUGUAGACAAGUAUCUUUCCGUCCAUUGAAACAAUGUCACCAGGACGUAAUAUGAUAGUCUAACCUUUUAGGUACAUUCGAGAUUCAGUUGAAAACCAGUUGCAUAAGGACUGUCAUGGCAUCACUUUGAAAAUACUGGAUGUUUUGUGUCUCAAUGGUUUGGUUUUUAUUUUCUUUAUAUAUACUAGUUUAUCUCAUGCGCGCACACACACAUUUUCUUUAUAGAUAGAAGUUUAUCUCACGCACACACACACCUACACCUACCUACCUUUCUUGGCUGCUUUAUUAUUUCUUAUCUGGUAAAUCAAUGCAUCAGAAACAGGUGUUGAGACAAUUGGAGUAAAAACAUUUUGUUUGUCUUUAGGUUUUAAAGAUGCUAAUAUAGAAGCUAAUCAGCACCAUGAGAGCAGUGAAUAGUAAUAGUCAUAAGUGUGUGUAUGUGAUGAAGGCAGUUUUUCAAAAAUAGCAGGAUGGGGAUGCUGAUGUGAACAAACUGAAGAAGUGAAAGCUAGUAGUAUUUAUAUAGAAAAGAUAUCCAGAAACUCUCUUAAAUGGUAUACAUGAGGCUUCCCAAAAGUUACCUUUGCAAUUUGCCAAAUGAUCUUGUGCCUUCAUGACUUAAAACAACAAUACAUAUAUAUUAGGUGCUUUGUAACUAGAGCAGUGGCUUUGGUUUAAUUCCAAUGCAGUGUCUUCAUAUUUAGAUGCAAAUAUGGACCUUUCACAAAAGUCAGCAGUUUUUGAGUUUGUAAAUGUAAGCAAAAGAUAUAUGGAGGUGAGGGGGAGGGGAGAAUUUACAGAAAUAUCUGUAAAAAGGGACAGAGAGUCCUGUGGCACCUUAUAGACUAAUAAACAUAUUGGAGCAUAAGCUUUCGUGGGUGAAUACCCACUUCAUCAGACGCAUGUCUGGUGUUUGUAUCCAAAAUAAAGUUCAUACGAGACAUAUGCAUGUCUGAGAAAAUCUGCAACUAGAAGCUACUCUACAGACAAUAAAAUGGGUUACAUUUUUAAAUUAAUAAGACUUUUUGACCCCUCCAAAAAUCAAGCAUCUUGUUAGGGAAGUGUAAUAUAAAGUUCUUAGGAGAGAUAAAGUUAGAAUAUCCAGAGCAGUGUAUGAAAAGCAAGCUCUAGAAUAGAAGGCUGUCAGUACCAAUAAGCCAUGUACAUCAUGGUAUACUGUUAAUUUCCCGGUCCGGGGUUAUGUCGUUUAUGGAAUAUCAAGAGGUUUCUUUAGUUCUUCCUCAGGCCUCGUAUUGAUACACUGCUGAACCUCUACAACCCCAGCCACUGUUUAAUGAUCAUAUAUCCUGUAAUCACGUUUACCUUGGGAGAUGAGUAUAUUAUCAGUUGAGGGGCAAAAGAUACGUUUGGAUUUGAUGUAUUCAUGUUUCAAACUUAUCUUCGCUCCUGGCAGUACUUUAAUACUAGUGUCAUAUUUCAUCUGUAUGUCCAUAAGGAAAAGAAUGGUCUUUGUUCUUAAUGUUUUUCAAGUCCUUUCCCUAACUUUGUUGUUGGUGGAAGACUUUGGACAUAAUUCUGUGUUAGAUAAAUCAGUGCAAUUAAAUGCACAAUUAUUACAGACUAUUAGACUUCUAACAACCCCUUUUUAGUUCCUUUUAUAAAUCAGGAUGUAAGGUUUUUCACCUGUUUUACUUAAAUGCCCAGGAAAUAUCUGGAACUUUUCUCCCUCUUCCAACCCACGCACUGAAAAUAGUAUCCUCCCUACUUCUAUGAAAAACACAACUAUUUCCCUAUUUUGCGAAGGGGAGAGGGUAAUGUUGGGGAACUUUGAAACUGCCUGAACAUUUGUUUUAGUAUGUCAUAGCAACAGUAUGUUCAACCCAUCCAGAUGCCCUAACAGCCUACAUGUACUAUCCAGUCUUUGUGUCUGGCUUAUCAUACCUGCAGCAAUUGUAGUUUAGAAUAAGCCUGUAUGACAUUUACUUCUGAAUUAGUAAAACACAAAGCCAAGAUUGUUGUUUGAGUUUUAAAUAAUAGUUUGUUUUGACAGAUAUUUAAUUUGGGUGCUCACCCUGCUUGAACUCAAUUUAUUUGUUUUGUGUGUUUGGAAGUUCAGUAAAAUGUUAAGACAUGACAAGUAGUAACCCUAUCUGGGCACAGAUGUUGGGGGGAUAGGGGUAAAAUGGACCAAACUGGUAUGGUGGGUAUUUUUGGGAUAGUGGGGGUGGGCAUAAUUUAAAUAACUUUGUCUAAAAUAAAAUGUAAGUGCAAUAAAUGUGCUUUUUAUUCAAAGCUGUGAACUGUUUAAAAAAAGACAUGCACAUCAUUCCUUCCUGAGCCUUGUGUUUUUCCUAUGUUUCUCCCCAAAUGACUGAAACCUGGCAGUGGCCAACCUGCAUGUCUUCUUUAGUAUCAUGAUUAAAUAUGUGCUUAUCUAAACCAUGCCAUUAAAAAAAAAAAUCUAAAUCCCCCUUGGUAGGACUAAGGCAAAUCCUCCCCCUACUUCUGCACCCCUGGAGAGUCCUUAUAGUGCCAGUCUGCUGUGCUUCACUUGGAAGGGCAGGCUGUGAACAUCCCUUGAGGCUGGAGCACUGGCAAGGGCCCUGAGGAUCUGCUGUGUCGCUCCUCUUCACAGGGGUACAGAGCCUACUCCAGCCAUUGCAGUAGCCUCUCUGAGUAGGAAGAUUCCUUCCUCUGCAUAUGACUGGCACUUGUUCUGGCUAAGGGCACCAGGGCUGGGCAGAGGAUUUUUUCCUAAGCAACUAGGAAGAGGGCCAGCAACUUCCUUCUUGGGUCCUCUAUAUUCCUUUUGUCAAAACAAGCAUGCAGGCUGGCCCCUGUUUUCUCCUAUUACUCCACCUUGUUUUGAAGGAAUAGUUAUACAUAUUUUUAAUCACUUGUGCGGUACUUACACAGUCUGUCCCUUCCUCACUCAAGAUCAUGUGCUUUCCCUAGACUAGGAAAGGUGCGGUGGUCUUUUCUCCACAAAGGACUCAAUACUAACGUUUCAUUAAAAAGUUCAUGGAAAGCGUAGAACUCACUAGUUGGACCCCGUAGGGAAAAGCAAGGGGGAUGGCUUUUUAAAAAAAAUUAUGAAGAUGUUGCCUCAUAAUACCUUGUUUAUGAGCAACAAAAUACUCUAGUAAGGAGAGGAAAGGGAAAUCAUAUAUAGAUUUGAUUUUUUUACUUAGUGCAAUGAAAUGUACAUCCCACAGUUUGAACUCUGUGCUAACUAACACAACAUUCCUUUAAGCUGUAUUUUUACCACCAAAAGUUUUGUGAGGGUCUAAGUCUUCACUGUAGAAGGUCCAAUCUGGUUACUUACGAAAAAAAUUGUGUUAGUAGAUUUCUAUAGCUGCUUUUAAAAACUACAAUGGAGUAAUUGUUUUAAAACUUGUAUUUAUUUUUUAACUCAUAAGCAAAUGUUUAUUUUCAGUUUUCUGUUACACAGACCAUGGCAACUCCCAUUCUUUCCCUUCCCAAUGUCCACAGUAAUUGCUAAUAAAAAUUAUUUUUCUUGCUUGUUUCCCUGCCUUCUACUUUUGUUACCCCUUCCUGCUCAAGUCCCUUCAUUUGUACUUUGAAGUUUUUUCUCAUGUAAAUUUGUACAAUGGGAAAUAUUGUCCAGUUUGGUUAGAGAGCAUGGAGACUUAAAGAAAACAUUAAAAAUUUGAUAGCUGAAAUUGAAGAAAACUAUUUCUGUGUAAAGUUAUUUAAAGAACUCUGUAUUAUAUAAAAGGCAAAAAGUUCUAUGUACUUGAUGUGAAUAUGAGAUUACUGCUAUAAUAAAGAUUGACUGCAUGGAGAAA